rnacentral:lncRNA from 1 species
UUCCGAACAAUUUUAGGGUGUUUUUUUUUGAAUGUUUCUUCAUUUUUAGAUUUUUUGAACCAUGAGACACCUUUGGUUUCUUUCCUGUUCGAAGAUUAGGGACCUCUUCUACAAAGUCGUCGUAUAUAGAAAUCUCUUUUCCUUUUUGUUUGACUGGUGUAGAAAUUUCUCCAGCAUCUACAUCAUAUUUUUGUUUGGUUCUCAUCUCGGCUCUGAUUUGUCAGGAAGAAGAGCUAUGAGUAGUCUCUGUAAUUGUAUUUGAAGAUUUGCCUUUCUUUUUGGCUGAUUUUGGGAAUAACAUACCCAAAUAAUUAGGGUAUAUCAGCUACUGCUGCUUUUUAGGACUUUUUUUCGAAGCUUUGUUGUUCUUCAUUGAUGAACUUCAACUGGAGUAAAAUGGGAAACCAACUUUAUUGAAGGGUUUCUUCGAUUUUCUGUGAAUUUAGAGGGAUAUUGGGUGGUUUCAGAAUAUGGAAAAAUGGUAAAAAGAAAGUGGGUAUGGUUGAGGGGUUAGGAGAGAGAAACCUGUGAUGAGUGGAGAUACUGG